UCCGCCGGGAUCUGCGGGGCUCUGCCGCCGCUGCCGCCCUUCUCGCGAGACUGCACUCGCCCUGCCGGCCGCGUGGGCCCGCCCCCCGAGCGUCCCCAUUGGACGGGCUGGCCGCCAAGCCGGCCAAGGACUUCCGGUUCCGCCCCGGAAGUCUGUGGGGCGGUGGGCUCGCUUCCACUCACGGCGGUGCCCCAGGGCCGGGGUGUGGCCGCAGAAAAUAUUUUGAAAGCGAAAUCGGAGCCGGGCACUGAGCCAGGCUUCCUCCGUGCCGCGGCCUCUGCGGGCCCCCCGGCUGGAGGGCUCGGGCCGACCGCUGGUCCUGCCCCGGCCCCUGGCCUUCCUGCCGCGGACUGGGGCUCUCCGUCCGCUGACUCUGCGAGCCGAGCGCUCCUCGUGGGGGCUCCUGUGCACCGAGGAUGCCUCGGGGCAUCCCUGACCUCCUGUCGCCGCUGGAUCCCGGCCCGCCCCGCUCCCCAGUGAUGGCAGCCGCAGCCGUCUCCAAAUAGCUCCCGGGAGCCAGCUCGCCCGCGCUGAGAACCGCGGCCCGAGAACGAGCCGAGCUCAGUGCCCGUUUCCGCGUCACAGGGCCGGCGUCCUGUUUGCCUUCAGCCCUCAACUCGAGUGCUGACUCCUUGUGAGCGUUCUUCACCAGCCCGUCUAAAGGGGAUCCUCGCCCAUCCCGCUGCUCUGUUUCAGUUUCUCCACAGUGUCCGCCACGUUUUUUUGUUUGUUUGUUCCUUUGUCCCCACCACGUCCGUGGUCCCCACAGUUAUGAGCUCCAUGAUCUCAGGGAGCUGGUUGUGUGUUUCGGUCCUCACCACGCCCCCUCCCCGCACCUACACCGGUGCCUGGCACGUGGUGGCGUGGAAGAGUGCCCCCCCCCCAGAAACGGCCCCUUGCAUGGCUUAAGAAGUUGGGACCCGGGGCUUCUUCCCGAUCCUUAACUGCAGCUAAAACCCGGAGGAAGCAAUUACCUAGGAAGUGGGAUUGCCGGGACUCCUGUGAUGUUCUACAGCGGAUAAUCCGUAUCCACAUUUCACCAGGGGAAAAAACAGAGCCCUUCAGGUUUCCUGCCCAGGGCCUCACAUCUAGUAAUCUUUGGAAAUCAGACCUGAGUAAAAGGCUCAUAACUGGUUCCUAGUCCAGAGCUUGCCCCGCACUCCAGCUGUCAAAACCUGCGAGUAUUUGUCGUAAGGCUGACGAGAUGAUACACUCAGGCAAAGGAUGGAAUAACAUUAGCAUUAACCAUGGAAUGAAAAUAAAGCCAUUGAAUGCCUUGUUAUCAUA